rnacentral:rRNA from 1 species
GCGGCAGGCUACACAUGCAGUCGAGCGGUAGCACAGAGAGCUUGCUCUCGGGUGACGAGCGGCGGACGGGUGAGUAAUGUCUGGGAAACUGCCUGAUGGAGGGGGAUAACUACUGGAAACGGUAGCUAAUACCGCAUAACGUCGCAAGACCAAAGUGGGGGACCUUCGGGCCUCAUGCCAUCAGAUGUGCCCAGAUGGGAUUAGCUAGUAGGUGGGGUAAUGGCUCACCUAGGCGACGAUCCCUAGCUGGUCUGAGAGGAUGACCAGCCACACUGGAACUGAGACACGGUCCAGACUCCUACGGGAGGCAGCAGUGGGGAAUAUUGCACAAUGGGCGCAAGCCUGAUGCAGCCAUGCCGCGUGUAUGAAGAAGGCCUUCGGGUUGUAAAGUACUUUCAGCGAGGAGGAAGGCGUUAAGGUUAAUAACCUUAGCGAUUGACGUUACUCGCAGAAGAAGCACCGGCUAACUCCGUGCCAGCAGCCGCGGUAAUACGGAGGGUGCAAGCGUUAAUCGGAAUUACUGGGCGUAAAGCGCACGCAGGCGGUCUGUCAAGUCGGAUGUGAAAUCCCCGGGCUCAACCUGGGAACUGCAUUCGAAACUGGCAGGCUAGAGUCUUGUAGAGGGGGGUAGAAUUCCAGGUGUAGCGGUGAAAUGCGUAGAGAUCUGGAGGAAUACCGGUGGCGAAGGCGGCCCCCUGGACAAAGACUGACGCUCAGGUGCGAAAGCGUGGGGGAGCAAACAGGAUUAGAUACCCUGGUAGUCCACGCCGUAAACGAUGUCGACUUGGAGGUUGUGCCCUUGAGGCGUGGCUUCCGGAGCUAACGCGUUAAGUCGACCGCCUGGGGAGUACGGCCGCAAGGUUAAAACUCAAAUGAAUUGACGGGGGCCCGCACAAGCGGUGGAGCAUGUGGUUUAAUUCGAUGCAACGCGAAGAACCUUACCUACUCCUUGACAUCCAGAGAACUUAGCAGAGAUGCUUUGGUGCCUUCGGGAACUCUGAGACAGGUGCUGCAUGGCUGUCGUCAGCUCGUGUUGGUGAAAUGUUGGGUUAAGUUCCCGCAACGAGCGCAACCCUUAUCCUUUGUUGCCAGCGGUCCGGCCGGGAACUCAAAGGAGACUGCCAGUGAUAAACUGGAGGAAGGUGGGGAUGACGUCAAGUCAUCAUGGCCCUUACGAGUAGGGCUACACACGUGCUACAAUGGCAUAUACAAAGAGAAGCGACCUCGCGAGAGCAAGCGGACCUCAUAAAGUAUGUCGUAGUCCGGAUUGGAGUCUGCAACUCGACUCCAUGAAGUCGGAAUCGCUAGUAAUCGUAGAUCAGAAUGCUACGGUGAAUACGUUCCCGGGCCUUGUACACACCGCCCGUCACACCAUGGGAGUGGGUUGCAAAAGAAGUAGGUAGCUUAACCUUCGGGAGGGCGCUACCACUUGAU